UAAUACGGAGGGUGCAAGCGUUAUCCGGAUUCACUGGGUUUAAAGGGUGCGUAGGUGGGCAGGUAAGUCAGUGGUGAAAUCUCCGGGCUUAACCCGGAAACUGCCAUUGAUACUAUCUGUCUUGAAUACCCUGGAGGUGAGCGGAAUAUGUCAUGUAGCGGUGAAAUGCUUAGAUAUGACAUAGAACACCCAUUGCGAAGGCAGCUCACUACGGGAAUAUUGACACUGAGGCACGAAAGCGUGGGGAUCAAACAGGAUUAGAUACCCUGGUAGUCCACGCCCUAAACGAUGGAUACUCGACAUCAGCGAUAAACUGUUGGUGUCUGAGCAAAAGCAUUAAGUAUCCCACCUGGGAAGUACGAUCGCAAGAUUG
rnacentral:rRNA from 1 species